AUUGAACGCUGGCGGCAGGCUUAACACAUGCAAGUCGAGCGGGGGAAGGUAGCUUGCUACUGGACCUAGCGGCGGACGGGUGAGUAAUGCUUAGGAAUCUGCCUAUUAGUGGGGGACAACAUCUCGAAAGGGAUGCUAAUACCGCAUACGUCCUACGGGAGAAAGCAGGGGAUCUUCGGACCUUGCGCUAAUAGAUGAGCCUAAGUCGGAUUAGCUAGUUGGUGGGGUAAAGGCCUACCAAGGCGACGAUCUGUAGCGGGUCUGAGAGGAUGAUCCGCCACACUGGGACUGAGACACGGCCCAGACUCCUACGGGAGGCAGCAGUGGGGAAUAUUGGACAAUGGGGGGAACCCUGAUCCAGCCAUGCCGCGUGUGUGAAGAAGGCCUUAUGGUUGUAAAGCACUUUAAGCGAGGAGGAGGCUACCUUAGUUAAUACCUAGAGAUAGUGGACGUUACUCGCAGAAUAAGCACCGGCUAACUCUGUGCCAGCAGCCGCGGUAAUACAGAGGGUGCGA
rnacentral:rRNA from 1 species